UCAAUGCUUUUUACCAAAUACUUUGUUACUCUUACUUGACUUACUGCCCAGCUCUACCAUGCAUUAAACACCUCCUCUGUUAUCUUUAGCUUAAAUAAGCUAAAACUGCACAUAAACUUUAAUAGGUUAAAUUUAACCAUUUUCAACUUUUUUCAGACUAAAUGAUGGAACCAAGAAGCAAAAAUCAUUUGCUGCAGCUUGAAAUCAUUUUUACACCAUUUUUGGCGCCCCUUCCAGCAGCGCCUCUAUGUAGUGCACGCCCAUUUUUUUCAACGCUAUCACUUCCGGUUCCAACAUCAUGGCUCCUGCAGCAGACGGAUCCGCUGGGCAGGAACCAUGCACCAUCAUUUCCUCUUUCCACGAAUCCACAGUUGGACUGGUACCUGACUGGAUCUUCAUUUCCUGAGGGACAGUAAAAAAAAAAAAACUCUUGACUUGGUUGCCAAAUACAUCUCAACUCAGACAAACGCUUCCAUCUUCAGCAAACCCUGUUUUAGGAUGAAACUAUCUGAGUGUUUCCUGCACAGAUUAUGCUUCAGAUUUGCUGCGCAGCAGAAAUGUGCUGCAGUUCUUCAUGCACUCAGCUCCACAAAGGCUCCAACAUCAUCUCCUGGAUUAAUCACUGAAUCCCGUUUUGUAGCUUCUGAGGUGAAGAAUGCGGACACAUUAUAGAUCAAAUCAUUUACACGUGCAGAAACUCAAUGCAGAAAAUGCUGACUAGAAAUAUUUUCACACUAUUUUUGGCGCCCCCUCUAACGCAGCGCCCCUUUGUCGCAUAUAGUGCGCACACACUUUUUGCUGCUACUUCCAAUACGUCUCUGUUUUCAUCUGGAUCUUUUUUUUUUCUUUCUGUUUAUCUUUGAAUGAUGUUUUGUAUUUAUUCCCAUCUUAUCAAUUUUUUACUUUGAUUUAUUCAUUUUUUAAGUUUUCUAUGGUUUUUGCUUGGAUCGUCUGCCCCACUGCUUCCAUUUCUUUCCUUUUACGAUCUGCAUAUUAUGUUUGGACCAGCAUUUUUCUCCACGCUCUUAAUUUGAACGAGUUUUAAAAUCCUUUUUGUUGUUUCAGCUGAUAAUUGUCUUGUUAAAAACUCCGCUGAGUUCUUCAGCAGAAUUGGAUUUGUGUAAGAAAUGACAACUACAGACUGAUUCCACAUUUUUACUCUAGUUUUGUCGUUUGUUUAUUGAUAAUUGUUUGGUAAACAUCUGCGUCAGAGCAUUGACGUUGUUCUCUAACGCGCCAAGAUUUCACUUAAAGCAGCUCUAAUUUUCUCUCUUUGUUCUUUUAUGAAGGCUAGCGGUUCUUCUUAAACUUUACAGACGAUUUUAUUGCAAAAACAGAUUAAAACAACAAUUUUAAACGCUUAAAAAGUUUUACAGUAUCUCUAAAUUUCUGUUUUUGAAACAAUAUGCUUUCGCCUUUACCACUUAUUUCACUUUCAGUCAAAUUUUAUAUUUGAUCUUUCUGCAAAUCAUGAAAGUUGCUGCUGCUGCGUAGAAGUGAAAUAACUUCUAUCACAGAUUUGAUUGAUUUUUCUGGUGUUUCUUUCUAUAAUCAGCAGUUCAAUGCGCCAAAAAAA